rnacentral:rRNA from 1 species
GUCCACGCCGUAAACGAUGAGUGCUAGAUGCUAUGGGUAUUGACCCCCGUGGUGUCGUAGCUAACGCGUUAAGCACUCCGCCUGGGGAGUACGGCCGCAAGGCUAAAACUCAAAGGAAUUGACGGGGGCCCGCACAAGCGGUGGAGCAUGUGGUUCAAUUCGACGCAACGCGCAGAACCUUACCUGGGUUAAAUCCACUCAAAUCUUGCAGAGAUGCGGGAGUGCCCUUCGGGGAAUGAGUGAGAAGGUGCUGCAUGGCUGUCGU